UACGGAGGAUGCAAGCGUUAUCCGGAAUGAUUGGGCGUAAAGCGUCCGCAGGUGGCAUCUCAAGUCUGCUGUCAAAGCCACCAGCUUAACUGGGUAGAGGCAGUGGAAACUGAGAAGCUAGAGAGCAAUAGGGGUAGAGGGAAUUCCCGGUGUAGCGGUGAAAUGCGUAGAGAUCGGGAAGAACACCAGUGGCGAAAGCGCUCUACUAGGUUGCAUCUGACACUGAGGGACGAAAGCUAGGGGAGCGAUUGGG
rnacentral:rRNA from 1 species